GUGGCCAAGUUUUUAAGGGCGCACGGUGGAUGCCUUGGCACCAGGAACCGAUGAAGGACGUGGGAGGCCACGAUAGGCCCCGGGGAGUCGUCAACCAGGCUUUGAUCCGGGGGUGUCCGAAUGGGGAAACCCGGCAGUCGUCAUGGGCUGUCACCCGCUGCUGAACACAUAGGCAGUGUGGAGGGAACGCGGGGAAGUGAAACAUCUCAGUACCCGCAGGAAGAGAAAACAACCGUGAUUCCGGGAGUAGUGGCGAGCGAAACCGGAUGAGGCCAAACCGUAUACGUGUGAGACCCGGCAGGGGUUGCGUGUGCGGGGUUGUGGGAUCUCUCUUUUACGGUCUGCCGGCCGUGAGACGAGUCAGAAACCGUUGAUGUAGGCGAAGGACAUGCGAAAGGUCCGGCGUAGAGGGUAAGACCCCGUAGUCGAAACGUCAACGGCUCGUUUGAGAGACACCCAAGUAGCACGGGGCCCGAGAAAUCCCGUGUGAAUCUGGCGGGACCACCCGCUAAGCCUAAAUAUUCCCUGGUGACCGAUAGCGGAUAGUACCGUGAGGGAAUGGUGAAAAGUACCGCGGGAGCGGAGUGAAAUAGUACCUGAAACCGUGUGCCUACAAGCCGUGGGAGCGUCGGACAUCAAGCUUGCUUGGUGUCUCGUGACUGCGUGCCUUUUGAAGAAUGAGCCUGCGAGUUUGCGGUGUGUUGCGAGGUUAACCCGGGUGGGGAAGCCGUAGCGAAAGCGAGUCCGAAUAGGGCGUUUUUAGUAGCACGCUCAAGACCCGAAGCGGAGUGAUCUAGCCAUGGGCAGGUUGAAGCGGCUGUAAGAGGUCGUGGAGGACCGAACCCACCAGGGUUGAAAACCUGGGGGAUGACCUGUGGUUAGGGGUGAAAGGCCAAUCAAACUCCGUGAUAGCUGGUUCUCCCCGAAAUGCAUUUAGGUGCAGCGUCGUGUGUUUCUUGCCGGAGGUAGAGCACUGGAUAGGCGAUGGGCCCUACCGGGUUACUGACCUUAGCCAAACUCCGAAUGCCGGUAAGUGAGAGCGCGGCAGUGAGACUGUGGGGGAUAAGCUCCAUGGUCGAGAGGGAAACAGCCCAGAGCAUCGACUAAGGCCCCUAAGCGUACGCUAAGUGGGAAAGGAUGUGGAGUCGCACAGACAACCAGGAGGUUGGCUUAGAAGCAGCCACCCUUGAAAGAGUGCGUAAUAGCUCACUGGUCUAGUGAUUCCGCGCCGACAAUGUAGCGGGGCUCAAGCGUACCGCCGAAGUCGUGUCAUUGCAGCAAUACGGCCAACGCCGGCUGUGAUGGGUAGGGGAGCGUCGUGUGCCGGGUGAAGCAGCCGCGGAAGCGAGUUGUGGACGGUUCACGAGUGAGAAUGCAGGCAUGAGUAGCGAUACAAACGUGAGAAACGUUUGCGCCGAUUGACUAAGGGUUCCUGGGUCAAGCUGAUCUGCCCAGGGUAAGUCGGGACCUAAGGCGAGGCCGACAGGCGUAGUCGAUGGAUAACCGGUUGAUAUUCCGGUACCCGCUGUGAAGCGUCAAACAUCGAGCAUCGUGAUGCUAAGGCCGUGAAGCCGCCCUGAUCUCUUCGGAGUUGAGGGGAGUGGUGGAGCCGCCGAACCAAGCGGUUAGUAGGUGAGUGAUGGGGUGACGCAGGAAGGUAGUCCAUCCCGGGCGGUGGUUGUCCCGGGGUAAGGGUGUAGGCCGGUGUGUAGGUAAAUCCGCACACCUUGUGGCUGAGACCUGAUGCCGAGCCGAUUGUGGUGAAGUGGAUGAUCCUAUGCUGUCGAGAAAAGCCUCUAGCGAGUUUCAUGGCGGCCCGUACCCUAAACCGACUCAGGUGGUCAGGUAGAGAAUACCGAGGCGUUCGGGUGAACUAUGGUUAAGGAACUCGGCAAAAUGCCCCCGUAACUUCGGGAGAAGGGGGGCCACACCUGGUGACGAGUUUUGCACUCUGAGCUGGGGGUGGCCGCAGAGACCAGCGAGAAGCGACUGUUUACUAAAAACACAGGUCCGUGCGAAGCCGUAAGGCGAUGUAUACGGACUGACGCCUGCCCGGUGCUGGAACGUUAAGGGGACCGGUUAGUCACAUUUCGGUGUGGCGAAGCUGAGAACUUAAGCGCCAGUAAACGGCGGUGGUAACUAUAACCAUCCUAAGGUAGCGAAAUUCCUUGUCGGGUAAGUUCCGACCUGCACGAAUGGCGUAACGACUUCUCGACUGUCUCAACCAUAGGCCCGGUGAAAUUGCACUACGAGUAAAGAUGCUCGUUUCGCGCAGCAGGACGGAAAGACCCCGGGACCUUUACUACAGUUUGAUAUUGGUGUUCGGUUCGGCUUGUGUAGGAUAGCUGGGAGACUUUGAAGCUCGCACGCCAGUGUGGGUGGAGUCGUCGUUGAAAUACCAGUCUGGUCGUGCUGGAUGUCUAACCUGGGUCCGUGAUCCGGAUCAGGGACAGUGUCUGAUGGGUAGUUUAACUGGGGCGGUUGCCUCCUAAAGAGUAACGGAGGCGCCCAAAGGUUCCCUCAGCCUGGUUGGCAAUCAGGUGUUGAGUGUAAGUGCACAAGGGAGCUUGACUGUGAGACCGACGGGUCGAGCAGGGACGAAAGUCGGGACUAGUGAUCCGGCGGUGGCUUGUGGAAGCGCCGUCGCUCAACGGAUAAAAGGUACCCCGGGGAUAACAGGCUGAUCUUCCCCAAGAGUCCAUAUCGACGGGAUGGUUUGGCACCUCGAUGUCGGCUCGUCGCAUCCUGGGGCUGGAGUCGGUCCCAAGGGUUGGGCUGUUCGCCCAUUAAAGCGGUACGCGAGCUGGGUUUAGAACGUCGUGAGACAGUUCGGUCCCUAUCCGCUGUGCGCGUAGGAGUCUUGAGAAGGGCUGUCCCUAGUACGAGAGGACCGGGACGGACGAACCUCUGGUGUGCCAGUUGUCCUGCCAAGGGCAUGGCUGGUUGGCUACGUUCGGGAGGGAUAACCGCUGAAAGCAUCUAAGCGGGAAGCCUGCUUCGAGAUGAGGACUCCCACCCCCUUGAGGGGUUAAGGCUCCCAGUAGACGACUGGGUUGAUAGGCCGGAUCUGGAAGCACCGUGAGGUGUGGAGGUGACCGGUACUAAUAGGCCGAGGGCUUGUCCUC
rnacentral:rRNA from 1 species